GAAAACUUUUAUGCCCUUGUUACCAGAAGAGCGCCUUGGCAACAACACGAAGGCGCUGAGCUUGAUUAAAGGCGUCGUUCAAGAUCGGAAGGAAAUACAAAAGGGGGUAAAUAUGUCAAACCCUAAUCUACCUGACUAACCUCAAUUCGGCUUGUCUGGAGUUCACAGAACCAACCGACAGCUCUGGAUCUAACCUUGAUCAACAACAUCUCUCUCUCACGAGUCUAUCUCAAUCAUCAGACUUCUCUCUCUUUGGUUCGAUUGGUUGUUGGUCGUCUGGUUCUAUUAUCUUGCUGGUUCGGCUGGUGGUCUAUUUUCUCUGGCUGUUUGUAACGCCUCAGUGCUACGUUGAUCGACUUACUGGACGCAAGUUCUAUUCGAAGCCACAAGUGUCUGAAUAUCUCAGAACUAUAAAUCAAAAUAGCUCUGCAUCCCAACAAAACAAAAACACUGACGUUUGUGAAUUAACUGGCGGCAAAACAACACUGAAGCCAACGGGAUCUCAAUUUCAUACGAGAUCCUCCAAACAGAUUGAUAUGGGCUUUAGCAAUGAGUCUGCAGAAAAGGUUUGUUCCUCAACUGAGGCUCAAUAUUGAUGGUAUAUUGCAUAUUAUUGAACUUGAUUAAUCACAUCUUUUGCUUCUUUCUGAAGUGUUUAUUCCUCAAUAUACUGUUUAUGUCAACUACUUGCAUGUGGAUUUGUUACGUGUUUACAUAAAAAAUUUCUGUAUUUAUUCGGUUGAGCAACAUAAAUUUUUUGAUAGAUGAUAAAACUUUCAGUGAGCUCAUACCCAUUUAUCAGGUCCAGAGUUCUUGUUUGUUGUUUUGUUUUAGCACAAGUAGUAUACAAGGUUGCGAAUACUGUUCCGUACCAGUUUGAGAGGAAACUGGUACUGUAACCCUCUAAUACCGUCCCGGCUUCAAUACCGAGCCUUACCGGACAAUACCGGAAAUAUUGGUCGAGAUGACGUUACCGGAAAUUUCGUCCGAAAUUUUGCAAAACAGAGAAAAAAAGAAGAAAAUAGAGAAAUGGAGGGGAAAGAGAUAAAAAGAAGACGAUUGGAGAACAUUUGACUUUGACUCCUCUUGGUCUUCUCUGGCAGUCCGGCGUAAUCUUGCAGCUGAUCGAUCUAUGUUCACUGUGGGUGAACCGGUGAAGUUUCCAGUUUCCACACCGCUGUGGGUAGUCUUUUCUGGCAGUCCUCUAUUGUUCCUGUACAUUUUUCUCAGUUUUGGGGAGGUAAACAUUACCUCUUUGAAAGUGGAAUAAAAAAAAAGUGGAAUAGUUGCAUUGGGAAAUUUGGAACGUGAAUUUUAGUCUUUUAGAGAGAGAAGGAAGUGCGUUUGAAAACCAGUGGAUUGGAAAACCUGUGGUUUUGAGCCCACCAUUUGGAAAGCUAUAUUGAUUAUUAAAAAUAAAUGUUAAACUGAAUUUUUUUUAAAAAUUGUAAUAGUCUAAUAGUAGGACUUUAUGUAAGGGAAAAACAAGGUUAUAACUAAAUUUAUAUAUAUUUUUAUAUUUUAACGACAAAU